rnacentral:rRNA from 1 species
GUUUCGGCCGUCACUUACAGAUGGACCGCGGCGCAUAGCUAGUUGGUGAGGUAACGGCUCACCAGGGCGACGAUGCGUAGCCGACCUGAGAGGGUGAUCGGCCACACUGGGAGUGAGACACGGCCCAGACUCCUACGGGAGGCAGCAGUAGGGAAUCUUCCGCAAUGGACGAAAGUCUGACGGAGCAACGCCGCGUGAGUGAUGAAGGUUUUCGGAUCGUAAAGCUCUGUUGUUAGGGAAGAACAAGUGCAAGAGUAACUGCUUGCACCUUGACGGUACCUAACCAGAAAGCCACGGCUAACUACGUGCCAGCAGCCGCGGUAAUACGUAGGUGGCAGCGUUGUCCGGAAUUAUUGGGCGUAAAGGGCUCGCAGGCGGUUUCUUAAGUCUGAUGUGAAAGCCCCCGGCUCAACCGGGGAGGGUCAUUGGAAACUGGGAAACUUGAGUGCAGAAGAGGAGAGUGGAAUUCCACGUGUAGCGGUGAAAUGCGUAGAGAUGUGGAGGAACACCAGUGGCGAAGGCGACUCUCUGGUCUGUAACUGACGCUGAGGAGCGAAAGCGUGGGGAGCGAACAGGAUUAGAUACCCUGGUAGUCCACGCCGUAAACGAUGAGUGCUAAGUGUUAGGGGGUUUCCGCCCCUUAGUGCUGCAGCUAACGCAUUAAGCACUCCGCCUGGGGAGUACGGUCGCAAGACUGAAACUCAAAGGAAUUGACGGGGGCCCGCACAAGCGGUGGAGCAUGUGGUUUAAUUCGAAGCAACGCGAAGAACCUUACCAGGUCUUGACAUCCUCUGACAACCCUAGAGAUAGGGCUUUCCCUUCGGGGACAGAGUGACAGGU